CACUCCUACGGGAGGCAGCAGUGGGGAAUAUUGCACAAUGGGCGCAAGCCUGAUGCAGCCAUGCCGCGUGUGUGAAGAAGGCCUUCGGGUUGUAAAGCACUUUCAGCGGGGAGGAAGGCAAUGCGGUUAAUAACCGUGUUGAUUGACGUUACCCGCAGAAGAAGCACCGGCUAACUCCGUGCCAGCAGCCGCGGUAAUACGGAGGGUGCAAGCGUUAAUCGGAAUUACUGGGCGUAAAGCGCACGCAGGCGGUCUGUCAAGUCGGAUGUGAAAUCCCCGGGCUCAACCUGGGAACUGCAUUCGAAACUGGCAGGCUUGAGUCUUGUAGAGGGGGGUAGAAUUCCAGGUGUAGCGGUGAAAUGCGUAGAGAUCUGGAGGAAUACCGGUGGCGAAGGCGGCCCCCUGGACAAAGACUGACGCUCAGGUGCGAAAGCGUGGGGAGCAAACAGGAUUAGAAACCCCAGUAGUCCCAUGAU
rnacentral:rRNA from 1 species